AGCAUCAUGCUCAUGCCAAAGAUUAAGCCAUGCACGUGCAAGCAUAAAUUUCAUUAAAAUAAAGUAAUUUUUUUUUUUUUUAAAAUUAUCAAAAAUGUGAAGCUGCUCAUGGCUCCCUAAAUCAGUCUUGAGUCUAAAGUUUUACUUUUUAAUAUUUUUGGAUAACCAGACUAAAGACUGGCUAAUACAUGAGGAGAAAAUAGAGAUAAAGAUGGAAACGUAUGUGUGUGGUUGUAAGUCUGUGUGUGUUUGUUUCGAUUUUAGUGCGAUUUAAAAUUUCCCAUAGAAUAAUAUACAUAAUAUUUUUUAAUUCUUGAGAUGAAUAUGGUAAGAUAUGAUAUGUGUUUAUCCAUUUUUUUUCGUAAGAAAAAAAAAGUGGAACAAACGACCCUAAAUCAGCAAAAAAUAAAAAAAAUCAAUCAGUUUUUGUGUGAAAUUAUGAGAAACUGCUCCAUCUUUUCUAGUCAGCAUUGUAUUGUACUAAGAGAUGAGAAACACGGGUAACGGAAAAUCAGGGUUUGAUGCCGGAGAGGGAGCUCGAAAGAUGGCUCCCACUCCCAAGGGGGGCAGCAGGCGCGCAAAUUGUCCAAUCCUAACACCAAGUUUCUUUUAUUUUUUUAGAGAGAAACCACAAAGGGAGACAGUGACCACAAAUAACAUUUCUUCAGUAAUGUUUCGUUUUCUUCGAUUUCAUCUUUACCGAUGGGAUAGGAGAGGGUGAGAUGUUUAUAUAUCUGGAGUUGGGUGGAAUGAGAACAUUUCAAAAGAUUUAUUGAGCAACCAUUGGAGGGAAAGUCUGGUGCCAGCAGCCGCGGUAAUUCCAGCUCCAAUAGUGUAAGCUAAAGUUGUUGUGAUUGAAAAGCUCGUAGUUGUGAGUAUAUAUAUAUAUAUUUAUGUUCUUUUUUAUAACGAAAAAGAACGAAUAAAAAAAAAAUAUCGGUGUUUUUUGAAUUUCUUUUUUUUUUUUUUUAAAAGGAGGAGACACACGGAGAAAGAAUUUUCUUUCUUUUUUUAUGGUGUUAACACAAUAUAAAGUCGAUAUUAUUACUAACUUUACAUCAUUAUUUGCCUUGAAAAAAUUAAGGUGUUCAAAGCAGACUUUAAAAUGGAGCGAAGGAAAAUAAAUAAUUUAUAUAAAUUCUUUUUUUUCUUUUUUCUCUUGUGUCUUUGAAUAUCAUUAGCAUGGUACAAAACUAUCUAAAAAAAUUAUCAUAAAGAAAAAGGAACUCAAAAUAAUGUGGAUUUUUUGGAUUUCCCCUUUGGCUGUCCUACUGACUUUUUUUUUUUUAAACGAUUAUAUGGAUAGACAAGAAUAAUUCGAAAAAUUCAUUGGUGUUCAUUUUUUUAUUUUAAAAAUUAUAUAUACCAAAUGGAGGUGGUUGACAGGACGACCCUGAUUUACUUGAGAGAGGUGAAAUUCUAUGACCAAGUAAAGAAGAACAAAGGCAAAAGCAGGUGAAUUUUGGUGUGGGUCUUCCAUUUAUGUUUAUCUUUUUUUAAGACGAACGGAUAUCAUGGCCCGCAUCAAAGUAGGAGUAGGCACACCUUCAUACAAUCAAGAACGAAAGCUAGGGGAUCAAAGACGAUCAGAUACCGUCGUAGUCUUAUCUAUAAACUAUACAAGCCAAACCCUGAGAGAAUAAAUAAAUAUAAAAAAAAAAAGAAGAGGUUGUAGAUGUUAAUUCGUAUUUCUUUAUUUUUUUUAAGAAAUAUGAUAGGGUGUCUGACCUUUUUUUUUUUAUUAAAAGAAAUAUAACACAUUUUCACAGGAUUUUUUCUAUUAAAAAAUCGAGUCGAGAAAUCGUUGAGCGUUUGUGUUUCAGGGGGAGUAUGGCCGCAAGACUGAAACUUAAAGGAAUUGACGGAAAGGCACACCAGAGGUGGAGCGUGCGGCUCAAUUUGACUCAACACGGGAAAACUCACCAGGUCCAGACAUUAGAAUGACUGACAGACUUUUAUUUUUCUCUUUUUUUUUUUUUUUUUUUUUUUUAGAAAAAAAAAAAAGAAGAGAAAAAAACAAAUAUGAAGCUCUUUCACAAUUUUUUGGGUGGUGGUGCAUGGCCGUUCUUAGUUCGUGGAGUGAUUUGUCUAGUUAAUUCUGUUAACGAGCGAGAUCUCAACCUGCUAAAAAAAAGAAAAAUAAUACAUCUCGAGGUGAUUUUUUAAAAUGGUUUCUUUAAGAUAUAUCAAUAAUACAAUAAAAAGUAGGAUUAAUUUUUUAAUAAUAUUUUUUUUUUCCAUGCUAUUUUAUGUCAAAGUGAAAGGGUGUGGGUUAAAAAAAUGGAAAAAAAAAAGACUUCUUAGAUUAGCGUAUCAGUUUUUUUUUUUUUUUGUUCUCUUUUUUUUCUGUUAGUUUUUUUCCUUAGCGAAAGUCUCUGAGAGAGAAAGAGGGGGAAAGAAGAGAAAAAGCUGAUAUUUUAGGGACCAUCAACAUGAUUAACAAUUCAAAUGGAUGGAAGAGUGAGGCAAUAACAGGUCUGUGAUGCCCUUCGAUGUCUUGGGCUGCACGCGCGCGACAAUGACAUAGGCAAAGAGUAUAAAUACGUUUAAAAAUACUUUGUUUUUCUUUUGAUUUUAAAUUUUUUUUUGAACUGGGAGUGAGGAGAGAAAAAAAGUAAAUUUAAACUCCAUGGCUGAAGAGUUAAAAAGAUGCGAUUAACUUUUUUUUUUUAUAAAAAAAAGGUGAAAUAUACCGCUAUUUUAUUUGGAAAUCAUUCAAUAUAUGUCAUGCUGGGGAUAAAGCAUUGUAACUAUUGCUUUUGAACGUGGAAUCUCUUGUAGACGUUGGUCAUUAAGCCAACAUUGACUACGUCCCUGCCCUUUGUACACACCGCCCGUCGCUCCUACCGAUUGGAUGGGCAGAUGAAGGCUCAUUGCGAGAGGGUGCAUGUGUAGUAUAUAUUUUAUAAUUUUUUUAUAUGCCCAUGAACCUCGAGCGCGUCUGAAUAUUUUUAUCUAGAGGAAGGAGAAGUCGUAACAAGGUUUCU
rnacentral:rRNA from 1 species